rnacentral:rRNA from 1 species
AGAGUUUGAUCAUGGCUCAGGAUAAACGCUGGCGGCGUGCCUAACACAUGCAAGUCGAACGCGCUGAGCAAUCAGCGAGUGGCGGACGGGUGAGUAACACAUAGGUAACCUACCCCGAAGUGAGGAAUACCGGCGAGAAAUCGCCGACAAGACCGCAUAGGCUUCGCGAGAAGCAAAGUCGCAAGACGCUUUGGGAUGGGCCUGUGGCCGAUUAGCUGGUUGGUGGGGUAAUGGCCUACCAAGACGACGAUCGGUAGCUGGUCUGAGAGGAUGAUCAGCCACACUGGGAUUGAGAACGGCCCAGACUCCUACGGGAGGCAGCAGUGAGGAAUUUUCGGCAAUGGGCAAAAGCCUGACCGAGCAACGCCGCGUGCAGGACGAAGGUCUUCGGAUCGUAAACUGCUUUUCUCGGGGAAGAGAACGGACGGUACCCGAGGAAGAAGCCUCGGCUAACUACGUGCCAGCAGCCGCGGUAAGACGUAGGAGGCAAGUGUUGUCCGGAGUUACUGGGCGUAAAGCGCCCGCAGGCGGUCUGUUAAGUUCAGGGUGACAGUCAUCAGCUUAACUGGUGAAGUGUCUUGAAAACUGACGGACUUGAGGACCAGAGAGGGACCUGGAAUUCCGGGUGGAGCAGUGAAAUGCGUAGAG